CUUAAGUGGGGAAUAACGCAUCGAAAGGUGUGCUAAUACCGCAUAAUCUCUGAGGAGAAAAGCAGGGGAUCGCAAGACCUUGCGCUUUUGGAGCGGCCGAUGCCUGAUUAGCUAGUUGGUAGGGUAAAGGCCUACCAAGGCGUCGAUCAGUAGUUGGUCUGAGAGGACGACCAGCCACACUGGGACUGAGACACGGCCCAGACUCCUACGGGAGGCAGCAGUGGGGAAUUUUGGACAAUGGGCGCAAGCCUGAUCCAGCAAUGCCGCGUGAGUGAAGAAGGCCUUCGGGCUGUAAAGCUCUUUCAGCCGAGAAGAAAAGGUUACGACUAAUAAUCGUAAUUUAUGACGGUACCGACAGAAGAAGCACCGGCUAACUACGUGCCAGCAGCCGCGGUAAUACGUAGGGUGCAAGCGUUAAUCGGAAUUACUGGGCGUAAAGGGUGCGCAGACGGCUUUGUAAGUCAGAUGUGAAAUCCCCGGGCUUAACCUGGGAACUGCGUUUGAAACUACAAGGCUAG
rnacentral:rRNA from 1 species